UACGUAGGGUGCAAGCGUUAAUCGGAAUUACUGGGCGUAAAGCGCGCGCAGGCGGUUUUGUAAGUCUGACGUGAAAUCCCCGGGCUCAACCUGGGAAUUGCGUUGGAGACUGCAAGGCUAGAAUCUGGCAGAGGGGGGUAGAAUUCCACGUGUAGCAGUGAAAUGCGUAGAGAUGUGGACGAACACCGAUGGCGAAGGCAG
rnacentral:rRNA from 1 species